rnacentral:rRNA from 1 species
AUUGAACGCUGGCGGCAGGCCUAACACAUGCAAGUCGAGCGGCAGCGGGACCUUCGGGUUGCCGGCGAGCGGCGGACGGGUGAGUAAUGCCUAGGAAUCUGCCUGUUAGUGGGGGAUAACGCGGGGAAACUCGCGCUAAUACCGCAUAUGUCCUACGGGAGAAAGUGGGGGACCCUCGGGCCUCACGCUAACAGAUGAGCCUAGGUCGGAUUAGCUAGUUGGUGGGGUAAAGGCCCACCAAGGCGACGAUCCGUAACUGGUCUGAGAGGAUGAUCAGUCACACUGGAACUGAGACACGGUCCAGACUCCUACGGGAGGCAGCAGUGGGGAAUAUUGGACAAUGGGCGAAAGCCUGAUCCAGCCAUGCCGCGUGUGUGAAGAAGGUCUUCGGAUUGUAAAGCACUUUAAGUUGGGAGGAAGGGCGCUCGGUGAAUACCCAGGCGUCUUGACGUUACCGACAGAAUAAGCACCGGCUAACUUCGUGCCAGCCGCCGCCGUAA